rfam:Sclerotinia sclerotiorum 1980 scaffold_12 genomic scaffold, whole genome shotgun sequence.
GCGUUUGUGGUUUAGUGGUAAAAUCCAUCGUUGCCAUCAGUCCACUUUCAUCAGAAAAUCGUUGGUCAAUCUCGAUGGGCCCCGGGUUCGAUUCCCGGCGAACGCA